rnacentral:rRNA from 1 species
GAUGAACGCUAGCGGCAGGCCUAACACAUGCAAGUCGAGGGGCAUCGCGGUGCAGCAAUGCACUGGCGGCGACCGGCGUACGGGUGCGUAACGCGUAUGCAACCUGCCCCGCACCGGGGGAUAGCCCGCCGAAAGGCGGAUUAAUACCCCAUGGUCCCGGGGGCCCGCAUGGGCAUCCGGGUAAAGCCUUGGCGGUGCGGGAUGGGCAUGCGUGCCAUUAGCUGGCUGGUGGGGUAACGGCCCACCAGGGCAACGAUGGCUAGGGGGUCUGAGAGGAUGGUCCCCCACACUGGUACUGAGACACGGACCAGACUCCUACGGGAGGCAGCAGUGAGGAAUAUUGGUCAAUGGGCGGAAGCCUGAACCAGCCAUGCCGCGUGCGGGAUGAAGGCCCUACGGGUUGUAAACUUCUUUUGUACGGGAAAAACUCCUCUACGUGUAGAGGACUGAUGGUACCGUAAGAAUAAGCACCGGCUAACUCCGUG